rnacentral:rRNA from 1 species
CCUACGGGGGGCUGCAGUGGGGAAUAUUGGACAAUGGGGGGAACCCUGAUCCAGCCAUGCCGCGUGUGUGAAGAAGGCCCUCGGGUUGUAAAGCACUUUCAGUGAGGAAGAACGCCUGGUGGUUAAUACCCAUCAGGAAAGACAUCACUCACAGAAGAAGCACCGGCUAACUCCGUGCCAGCAGCCGCGGUAAUACGGAGGGUGCGAGCGUUAAUCGGAAUUACUGGGCGUAAAGCGCGCGUAGGUGGCUUGAUAAGCCGGUUGUGAAAGCCCCGGGCUCAACCUGGGAACGGCAUCCGGAACUGUCAAGCUAGGGUGCAGGAGAGGAAGGUAGAAUUCCCGGUGUAGCGGUGAAAUGCGUAGAGAUCGGGAGGAAUACCAGUGGCGAAGGCGGCCUUCUGGACUGACACUGACACUGAGGUGCGAAAGCGUGGGUAGCAAACAGGAUUAGAUACCCGAGUAGUC